AGCGGACGGGUGAGUAACACGUUAAGAACCUACCUUUUGGCGAGGGAUAACUAUUGGAAACGAUAGCUAAUACUUCAUAUUGCUGAGAAGUGAAAGAUGAAAAUUACCAAAAGAUGGGCUUGCGCCUGAUUAGUUAGUUGGUGAGGUAAUGGCUUACCAAGACGACGAUCAGUAGCUGGUUUGAGAGGAUGAUCAGCCACACUGGGACUGAGACACGGCCCAGACUCCUACGGGAGGCAGCAGUGAGGAAUUUUCCGCAAUGGGCGAAAGCCUGACGGAGCAAUACCGCGUGAAGGACGACGGCCUAUGGGUUGUAAACUUCUUUUCUCAGAGAAGAAUUUUGACGGUAUCUGAGGAAUAAGCAUCGGCUAACACUGUGCCAGCAGCCGCGGU
rnacentral:rRNA from 1 species